rnacentral:rRNA from 1 species
UUUAUAAAGAGUUUGAUCCUGGCUCAGGACGAACGCUGGCGGCGCGCCUAACACAUGCAAGUCGAACGAGAGAGGAAGAGCUUGCUCUUCUGAUCGAGUGGCGAACGGGUGAGUAACGCGUGAGGAACCUGCCUCAAAGAGGGGGACAACAGUUGGAAACGACUGCUAAUACCGCAUAAGCCCACGGCUCGGCAUCGAGCAGAGGGAAAAGG